CAGCAUAAUCAUUAUAUAAUCACUUUUUACAUAAGCCUUUGAUUAUGAUGAUGAUUAAAUAAGAUCAAAUGCGUAAGGCAUCUCAGCAUAGCAUACAUGUCAGGUAAAGAACAAUGUUUUUUCUCUUAUUUUUGCUUUGAAGUUUAUUCCCUCAUUUCAGCACAAAAUAGAAAUAUCUAUUGCUUUAAUCAAUAUUCACAAUAACAAACAGUAUUUUAGCCAUUUGAAACUAAUCUCAGAAUUUCAAUCUGCUUUGAAGAUCAUCACUAUCUAUAUUACUUUCCUUUAAGACAAUUACUUAAAAGCAUUUGUCAGAUUUUUUUAUCAGAAAAUUUAUAUCAAAGUGACUUCUCUGACUUUUUUAUAAACUGACCAU
rnacentral:lncRNA from 1 species